rnacentral:rRNA from 1 species
GAAAGUCUGACGGAGCAACGCCGCGUGAGUGAUGAAGGUUUUCGGAUCGUAAAGCUCUGUUGUUAGGGAAGAACAAGUGCAAGAGUAACUGCUUGCACCUUGACGGUACCUAACCAGAAAGCCACGGCUAACUACGUGCCAGCAGCCGCGGUAAUACGUAGGUGGCAAGCGUUGUCCGGAAUUAUUGGGCGUAAAGGGCUCGCAGGCGGUUUCUUAAGUCUGAUGUGAAAGCCCCCGGCUCAACCGGGGAGGGUCAUUGGAAACUGGGAAACUUGAGUGCAGAAGAGGAGAGUGGAAUUCCACGUGUAGCGGUGAAAUGCGUAGAGAUGUGGAGGAACACCAGUGGCGAAGGCGACUCUCUGGUCUGUAACUGACGCUGAGGAGCGAAAGCGUGGGGAGCGAACAGGAUUAGAUACCCUGGUAGUCCACGCCGUAAACGAUGAGUGCUAAGUGUUAGGGGGUUUCCGCCCCUUAGUGCUGCAGCUAACGCAUUAAGCACUCCGCCUGGGGAGUACGGUCGCAAGACUGAAACUCAAAGGAAUUGACGGGGGCCCGCACAAGCGGUGGAGCAUGUGGUUUAAUUCGAAGCAACGCGAAGAACCUUACCAGGUCUUGACAUCCUCUGACAACCCUAGAGAUAGGGCUUUCCCUUCGGGGACAGAGUGACAGG